rnacentral:tRNA from 1 species
UAAAAGACAGUAGUUAAACUCUACUAUUAAGGG